rnacentral:rRNA from 1 species
GAUGAACGCUGGCGGCGUGCCUAAUACAUGCAAGUCGAGCGAACGGACGAGAAGCUUGCUUCUCUGAUGUUAGCGGCGGACGGGUGAGUAACACGUGGAUAACCUACCUAUAAGACUGGGAUACUUCGGGAAACCGGAGCUAAUACCGGAUGAUAUUUUGAACCGCAUGGUUCAAAAGUGAAAGACGGUCUUGCUGUCACUUAUAGAUGGAUCCGCGCUGCAUUAGCUAGUUGGUAAGGUAACGGCUUACCAAGGCAACGAUGCAUAGCCGACCUGAGAGGGUGAUCGGCCACACUGGAACUGAGACACGGUCCAGACUCCUACGGGAGGUAGCAGUAGGGAAUCUUCCGCAAUGGGCGAAAGCCUGACGGAGCAACGCCGCGUGAGUGAUGAAGGUCUUCGGAUCGUAAAACUCUGUUAUUAGGGAAGAACAUAUGUGUAAGUAACUGUGCACAUCUUGACGGUACCUAAUCAGAAAGCCACGGCUAACUACGUG